rnacentral:rRNA from 1 species
CAGUAGCCGCGGUAAUACGGAGGGUCCGAGCGUUAAUCGGAAUUACUGGGCGUAAAGCGUGCGCAGGCGGUUUGUUAAGCGAGAUGUGAAAGCCCUGGGCUCAACCUAGGAAUAGCAUUUCGAACUGGCGAACUAGAGUUUUGUAGAGGGGGGUAGAAUUCCAGGUGUAGCGGUGAAAUGCGUAGAGAUCUGGAGGAAUACCGGUGGCGAAGGCGGCCCCCUGGACAAAGACUGACGCUCAUGCACGAAAGCGUGGGGAGCAAACAGGAUUAGAUACCCCGGUAGUCCCUGUCUCUUAUAC